UACGAAGGGGGCUAGCGUUGUUCGGAUUUACUGGGCGUAAAGCGCACGUAGGCGGAUCGAUCAGUCAGGGGUGAAAUCCCAGAGCUCAACUCUGGAACUGCCUUUGAUACUGUCGAUCUGGAGUAUGGAAGAGGUGAGUGGAAUUCCGAGUGUAGAGGUGGAAUUCGUAGAUAUUCGGAGGAACACCAGUGGCGAAGGCGGCUCACUGGUCCAUUACUGACGCUGAGACGCGAAAGCGUGGGGAGCAAACAGG
rnacentral:rRNA from 1 species